UCGACCGUAGCUCAGAUGGUAGAGCAGCCGACUGUUAAUCGGCGCGCCGCAGGUUCGAGUCCCGCCGGUCGAGCCA
rnacentral:tRNA from 1 species